rnacentral:rRNA from 1 species
UACAGAGGGGGCAAGCGUUAUUCGGAAUUAUUGGGCGUAAAGGGCGCGUAGGCGGCUUGGCAAGUGGAAGGUGAAAUCCCUCGGCUUAACCGAGGAACUGCCCUCCAAACUGCUUCGCUUGAGACCGGGAGAGGUGAGUGGAAUUCCCAGUGUAGCGGUGAAAUGCGUAGAUAUUGGGAGGAACACCAGUGGCGAAGGCGGCUCACUGGACCGGUACUGACGCUGAAGCGCGAAAAGCGUGGGGGGAGCAAACGGGGG